GGAAUAUUGGUCAAUGGUCGGGAGACUGAACCAGCCAAGUCGCGUGCGGGAUGAAGGCCCUCCGGGUCGUAAACCGCUUUAGCCGGGGAGUAACGUGGGGGACGUGUCCCCCAGUGAGAGUACCCGGAGAAUAAGCAUCGGCUAACUCCGUGCCAGCAGCCGCGGUAAUACGGAGGAUGCGAGCGUUAUCCGGAUUUAUUGGGUUUAAAGGGUGCGCAGGCGGCAUGUCAAGUCAGCGGUCAAACUGCGGCGCUCAACGCCGUACCGCCGUUGAAACUGGCAGGCUUGAGUCCGUGCGAGGAUGGCGGAAUGCGCGGUGUAGCGGUGAAAUGCAUAGAUAUCGCGCAGAACUCCGAUUGCGAAGGCAGCUGUCCAGCACACGACUGACGCUCAUGCACGAAAGCGUGGGUAUCGAACA
rnacentral:rRNA from 1 species